rnacentral:lncRNA from 1 species
GUUCAAGUGGGUCUUCAGGAUCUGAACUCCUAUCCUAACUCUUUCACAGGAAGCGCUUAGAUCACUCUGCUACUUUCUGGACCAGAUGCUGGUACUUGGGCAUCUUUCUAAAAAAAGUAAAAGUUAAGACUGUUUAUUCUGGAAUGGGUAGAGCAGUGUUAUCCAUGACACUAUCGUUGUCUAGUUUCUGAACACAGGUGAGUACAAUUUACUGAAAAAAAAAAAAAAGUAAGUAUUGAUGGUACUUUGUACAAACCUCCAAAAUACCAAACUACAUUAAAAACUAGUACAGAAGGUCAAGUCCUUUCUCAUUCGGUUUCUGUGAAGCAUCGAGAAAAAGCAAAUUCCCAAAGACAAGCAGAUGCUGGCUACCUUGGGUUGGAACUGGACGUAAGAGCGAUUGCUCAUACUGAGAUAGUUCUAUUGGUAGUGGAGUGUUCCGAGUCUGGAUUGCAGAACAGUUCUCAGAGCUCUGCAGAUCCAUUAACAGUAUUACCUUGUAUAUUUAAGAUGAAUGGAUACUUUACUAGUCUCAUUUUGUGUGAGAGUGAUAAGUACUAGGACCUGUUCACCAGCUAGCUUCCAUUGUAAAAUUAGAGAAAUAUUUUCAUGUCAAAAUUCAGACAGCCUGGGCUAAAACUAGAUUAUUAAAAUGCCCAGGUAGAUUCAUAGCAUUUUGGAUGUUCUAGUU